rnacentral:rRNA from 1 species
GACGAACGCUGGCGGCGUGCUUAACACAUGCAAGUCGAACGGAAAGGCCCUGCUUGCAGGGUACUCGAGUGGCGAACGGGUGAGUAACACGUGGGUGAUCUGCCCUGCACUUCGGGAUAAGCCUGGGAAACUGGGUCUAAUACCGGAUAGGAGCCAUUUUUAGUGUGAUGGUUGGAAAGUUUUUUCGGUGUAGGAUGAGCUCGCGGCCUAUCAGCUUGUUGGUGGGGUAAUGGCCUACCAAGGCGGCGACGGGUAGCCGGCCUGAGAGGGUGGACGGCCACAUUGGGACUGAGAUACGGCCCAGACGCCUACGGGAGGCAGCAGUGGGGAAGAUUGCACAAUGGGCGCAAGCCUGAUGCAGCGACGCCGCGUGGGGGAUGACGGCCUUCGGGUUGUAAACUCCUUUCGCUAGGGACGAAGCUUUUUGUGACGGUACCUAGAGAAGAAGCACCGGCUAACUACGUG